rnacentral:rRNA from 1 species
AUUGAACGCUGGCGGCAUGCCUUACACAUGCAAGUCGAACGGCAGCACGGGAGCUUGCUCCUGGUGGCGAGUGGCGAACGGGUGAGUAAUACAUCGGAACGUAUCCUGUAAUGGGGGAUAACGUAGCGAAAGUUACGCUAAUACCGCAUACGCUCGAGAGAGGAAAGUGGGGGAUCGCAAGACCUCACGUUAUAGGAGCGGCCGAUGUCCGAUUAGCUAGUUGGUGGGGUAAAGGCCUACCAAGGCGACGAUCGGUAGCUGGUCUGAGAGGAUGAUCAGCCACACUGGGACUGAGACACGGCCCAGACUCCUACGGGAGGCAGCAGUGGGGAAUUUUGGACAAUGGGGGCAACCCUGAUCCAGCCAUGCCGCGUGCGGGAAGAAGGCCUCGGUUGUAACCGCUUUAGUCGGAGAAAGGCACGGGUUAAUACUCCGUGUUCUUGUACGGUACCGGCGGAAUAAGCACCGGCUAACUACGU